GAUGAACGCUGGCGGCGUGCCUAAUACAUGCAAGUCGAGCGAACGGACGAGAAGCUUGCUUCUCUGAUGUUAGCGGCGGACGGGUGAGUAACACGUGGAUAACCUACCUAUAAGACUGGGAUAACUUCGGGAAACCGGAGCUAAUACCGGAUAAUAUUUUGAACCGCAGGGUUCAAAAGUGAAAGACGGUCUUGCUGUCACUUAUAGAUGGAUCCGCGCUGCAUUAGCUAGUUGGUAAGGUAACGGCUUACCAAGGCAACGAUGCAUAGCCGACCUGAGAGGGUGAUCGGCCACACUGGAACUUAGACACGGUCCAGACUCCUACGGGAGGCAGCAGUAGGGAAUCUUCCGCAAUGGGCGAAAGCCUUACGGAGCAACGCCGCGUGAGUGAUGAAGGUCUUCGGAUCGUAAAACUCUGUUAUUAGUGAAGAACAUAUGUGUAAGUAGCUGUGCACAUCGUGACGGUACCUAAUCAGAAAGCCACGGCUAACUACGUG
rnacentral:rRNA from 1 species